ACGUUUCGUCUUGGAUUUUAAGGAUUUAUAACAAAUUUCAUUUGUUAUUUAGUUAAUGAAAAUUUGUACUGAAUCCUUAGACAUCCUGGCACGACAAGU
rnacentral:pre_miRNA from 1 species